rnacentral:rRNA from 1 species
AUACGGAGGGAGCAAGCGUUAUUCGGAAUCACUGGGCGUAAAGGACGCGUAGGCGGGUUUGUAAGUCAGGUGUGAAAUCCUACAGCUCAACUGUAGAACUGCACUUGAAACUACAGACCUAGAGUAUGGAAGGGGCAGAUGGAAUUAGUGGUGUAGGAGUAAAAUCCGUAGAUAUCACUAGGAAUACCGAAAGCGAAGGCGAUCUGCUGGGACAUUACUGACGCUGAGGCGUGAAAGCGUGGGGAGCAAACAGGAUUAGAAACCCCGGUAGUCC